GGCCUUUUCCAGAGCUGCGUGGACCGGCCAGCAAGCACCAAGUCCUGCAGGCCCCCAGAGCCAGAGCCAGAGCCCUGCAAAUCCUGGAUUUGCUCCUUGAAGCAACAGAGCUGGGUGCAGAUUCGCCCACCGGGCAGCGGGAAAACGCGGAGUGGGAAAUUUGGAACGGCAUGCAGGCUGGGCAUGCGCAGUCACGACGGGCUGGUUUGAGAAGCCGCCAGGGAGCUGCUGCGACUGCCUCGCGGCCCUAGGCAGGGGCGGGGCCCGCCUUAUAUGGGAGCUGCGUGAGGACAAACUGCGCGGGCGCCUCCCGCGGGGCGGGUCCUAGCACACCUAUCUCUUUGCGACAGCCACUGGCACCGCCUUCUGCGCACAGUGAGACAGAAAGACAGCACCCCAAACAAGGUCCUGAUGCCAGGAUCCGCUCCCAGCCUCGACCCUCCCCAGA